GACGAAGGGGGCUAGCGUUGUUCGGAAUUACUGGGCGUAAAGCGUGCGCAGGCGGUUUCUUAAGUCAGAGGUGAAAUCCCAAGGCUCAACCUUGGAACUGCCUUUGAUACUGGGGAUCUUGAGUCCGGGAGAGGUGAGUGGAACUGCGAGUGUAGAGGUGAAAUUCGUAGAUAUUCGGAAGAACACCAGUGGCGAAGGCGACUCGCUGGACAAGUAUUGACGCUGAGGUGCGAAAGCGUGGGGAGCAAACAGG
rnacentral:rRNA from 1 species